rnacentral:rRNA from 1 species
CCUACGGGAGGCUGCAGUGGGGAAUAUUGGACAAUGGGGGCAACCCUGAUCCAGCCAUGCCGCGUGUGUGAAGAAGGCCCUCGGGUUGUAAAGCACUUUCAGUGAGGAAGAACGCCUGGUGGUUAAUACCCAUCAGGAAAGACAACACUCACAGAAGAAGCACCGGCUAACUCCGUGCCAGCAGCCGCAGUAAUACGGAGGGUGCGAGCGUUAAUCGGAAUUACUGGGCGUAAAGCGCGCGUAGGUGGCUUGAUAAGCCGGUUGUGAAAGCCCCGGGCUCAACCUGGGAACGGCAUCCGGAACUGUCAAGCUAGAGUGCAGGAGAGGAAGGUAGAAUUCCCGGUGGAGCGGUGAAAUGCGUAGAGAUCGGGAGGAAUACCAGUGGCGAAGGCGGCCUUCUGGACUGACACUGACACUGAGGUGCGAAAGCGUGGGUAGCAAACAGGAUUAGAUACCCUAGUAGUC